rnacentral:rRNA from 1 species
GACGAACGCUGGCGGCAGGCCUAACACAUGCAAGUCGAACGCCCAGUAAGGGGUGUGGCGCGCGGGUGCGUAACGCGUGGGAAUUUACCCGUAGAGACGUAACAACGUUUGGAAACGAACGCUAAUGACGUAUAAUGACUUCGGUGCAAAGAUGUAUCGACUAAGGAUUAGCAUGCGAUAGAUUAGCUAGUUGGUGAGGUAAAAGCUCACCAAGUCGACGAUCUAUAGCUGGUCUGAGAGGAGGAUCAGACACACUGGAACUGAGACACGGUCCAGACUCCUACGGGAGGCAGCAGUGAGGAAUAUUGGACAAUGGGCGAAAGCCUGAUCCAGCCAUGCCGCGUGAAUGAUGAAGGCCUUCGGGUUGUAAAGUUCUUUUAGAUGUGAAGAUAAUGACGGUAGCAUCAGAAAAAGCCCCAGCUAAAUUCGUGCCAGCCGCCGCAGUAA